AUCAAAUAAAUGCAGCACACUCACCACUAAAUCCUAUCCUAUUGAUAAAUGGUGGAUAUCGGGAGGGACGGAAGUCUACAUUUGCACCCCUUGAUUUGUGCCCUCACAUAACAAGGUGGGAAGUUUCCUGAGUCCAUGUCGAAAAUUGUUAAUAGUUUGGCGUAUGUGUGUAGUAUGCAUCCACUGAUCUCUGUCAGUGGGCUGCCAAAAGAAAAUAAUUGAAUAAAUUGCGAAUAACAUGAA